CUUCUUCUAUAGGAAGCAGCAUUCCUUGGUUU
rnacentral:tRNA from 1 species